UACGGGGGGUCCAAGCGUUGUUCGGAAUCACUGGGCGUAAAGCGCAUGUAGGUGGCUUUUCAAGUCAACUGUGAAAACCCAGGGCCUAACCCUGGAAAUGCAGUUGAUACUGUUGAGCUUGAGUACGAGAGAGGAUAGUGGAAUUUCUGGUGUAGUGGUGAAAUACGUAGAUAUCAUGAGGAACACCAGAGGCGAAGGCGGCUACCUGGACAAUUGCUGACGCUCAGGCACGAAAGCGUGGGGAGCAAAAGGG
rnacentral:rRNA from 1 species